CCUACGGGAGGCAGCAGUGGGGAAUAUUGCACAAUGGGGGAAACCCUGAUGCAGCGACGCCGCGUGAGUGAAGAAGUAUUUCGGUACGUAAAGCUCUAUCAGCAGGGAAGAAAAUGACGGUACCUGACCAAGAAGCCCCGGCUAACUACGUGCCAGCAGCCGCGGUAAUACGUAGGGGGCAAGCGUGAUCCGGAUUUACUGGGUGUAAAGGGAGCGUAGACGGCAGCGCAAGUCUGGAGUGAAAUGCCGGGGCCCAACCCCGGAACUGCUUUGGAAACUGUGCAGCUGGAGUGCAGGAGAGGUAAGCGGAAUUCCUCGUGUCGCGGUGGAGUGCGUCGAUGUUAGGGG
rnacentral:rRNA from 1 species